AUGAACGCUAGCUACAGGCUUAACACAUGCAAGUCGAGGGGCAGCAUGGUCUUAGCUUGCUAAGGCCGAUGGCGACCGGCGCACGGGUGAGUAACACGUAUCCAACCUGCCGUCUACUCUUGGACAGCCUUCUGAAAGGAAGAUUAAUACAAGAUGGCAUCAUGAGUCCGCAUGUUCACAUGAUUAAAGGUAUUCCGGUAGACGAUGGGGAUGCGUUCCAUUAGAUAGUAGGCGGGGUAACGGCCCACCUAGUCUUCGAUGGAUAGGGGUUCUGAGAGGAAGGUCCCCCACAUUGGAACUGAGACACGGUCCAAACUCCUACGGGAGGCAGCAGUGAGGAAUAUUGGUCAAUGGGCGAGAGCCUGAACCAGCCAAGUAGCGUGAAGGAUGACUGCCCUAUGGGUUGUAAACUUCUUUUAUAAAGGAAUAAAGUCGGGUAUGCAUACCCGUUUGCAUGUACUUUAUGAAUAAGGAUCGGCUAACUCCGUGCCAGCAGCCGCGGUAAUACGGAGGAUCCGAGCGUUAUCCGGAUUUAUUGGGUUUAAAGGGAGCGUAGAUGGAUGUUUAAGUCAGUUGUGAAAGUUUGCGGCUCAACCGUAAAAUUGCAGUUGAUACUGGAUAUCUUGAGUGCAGUUGAGGCAGGCGGAAUUCGUGGUGUAGCGGUGAAAUGCUUAGAUAUCACGAAGAACUCCGAUUGCGAAGGCAGCCUGCUAAGCUGCAACUGACAUUGAGGCUCGAAAGUGUGGGUAUCAAACAGGAUUAGAUACCCUGGUAGUCCACACGGUAAACGAUGAAUACUCGCUGUUUGCGAUAUACAGCAAGCGGCCAAGCGAAAGCGUUAAGUAUUCCACCUGGGGGGUACGCCGGCAACGGUGAAACUCAAAGGAAUUGACGGGGGCCCGCACAAGCGGAGGAACAUGUGGUUUAAUUCGAUGAUACGCGAGGAACCUUACCCGGGCUUAAAUUGCAGAUGAAUUACGGUGAAAGCCGUAAGCCGCAAGGCAUCUGUGAAGGUGCUGCAUGGUUGUCGUCAGCUCGUGCCGUGAGGUGUCGGCUUAAGUGCCAUAACGAGCGCAACCCUUGUUGUCAGUUACUAACAGGUCAUGCUGAGGACUCUGACAAGACUGCCAUCGUAAGAUGUGAGGAAGGUGGGGAUGACGUCAAAUCAGCACGGCCCUUACGUCCGGGGCUACACACGUGUUACAAUGGGGGGUACAGAGGGCCGCUACCACGCGAGUGGAUGCCAAUCCCAAAAACCUCUCUCAGUUCGGACUGGAGUCUGCAACCCGACUCCACGAAGCUGGAUUCGCUAGUAAUCGCGCAUCAGCCACGGCGCGGUGAAUACGUUCCCGGGCCUUGUACACACCGCCCGUCAAGCCAUGGGAGCCGGGGGUACCUGAAGUGCGUAACCGCGAGGAGCGCCCUAGGGUAAAACUGGUGACUGGGGCU
rnacentral:rRNA from 1 species